rnacentral:rRNA from 3 species
UUGACCUCAAAUCAAGUAGGA